GGGGCUGAUUAUGGAUUCGACGAAAUUAUCAAACUUUAAAGUGCAUGCCGAGGUACGGUGGCCUCGUUAAAAACCGUAAAAAAUAGUCGCAAACGAAGAAAACUACGCUUUAGCAGCUUAAUAAACUAGUUAAAGCCCUUUUUCCCUAACUAUGCUCUUAGCCUAGGGAAUAUAAAGGUUAAAUUUAAAAGAGAUCGCGUUAAUUAAUUUACUUGAGAUUAAUACGUUAAAUUUAAUCAAGUUAGUUUGUUAGUAGCGAGUCUGAACGCAGCUGAUAAGCAAAUAUUAAAGAUCAGACUAAGCAUGUAGUACUUAGGAGGUAGAAGUUUCGGACGCGGGUUCAACUCCCGCCAGCUCCAAUA
rnacentral:tmRNA from 1 species